rnacentral:rRNA from 1 species
UGGCUCAGGAUGAACGCUAGCUACAGGCUUAACACAUGCAAGUCGAGGGCAGCAUGUGGUGCUUGCAACCAAUGAUGGCGACCGGCGCACGGGUGAGUAACGCGUAUCCAACCUUCCCUAUAGUAGAGGAUAGCCCGGCGAAAGUCGGAUUAAUACUCUAUGUUUUCCAAUGCAGACAUCUAAGUUGGAACAAAGGUUCACCGCUAUAGGAUGGGGAUGCGUCUGAUUAGAUAGUCGGCGGGGUAACGGCCCACCGAGUCGACGAUCAGUAGGGUUCUGAGAGGAAGGUCCCCCACAUUGGAACUGAGACACGGUCCAAACUCCUACGGGAGGCAGCAGUGAGGAAUAUUGGUCAAUGGGCGAGAGCCUGAACCAGCCAAGUAGCGUGCAGGAUGACGGCCCUAUGGGUUGUAAACUGCUUUUAUACAGGGAUAAAGUGACGUACGUGUACGUUAUUGUAGGUACUGUAUGAAUAAGGACCGGCUAAUUCCGUGCCAGCCGCGGC